rnacentral:rRNA from 1 species
CAGUAGCCGCGGUAAUACGGAGGGUGCAAGCGUUAAUCGGAAUUACUGGGCGUAAAGCGCACGCAGGCGGUUUGUUAAGUCAGAUGUGAAAUCCCCGAGCUUAACUUGGGAACUGCAUUUGAAACUGGCAAGCUAGAGUCUUGUAGAGGGGGGUAGAAUUCCAGGUGUAGCGGUGAAAUGCGUAGAGAUCUGGAGGAAUACCGGUGGCAAAGGCGGCCCCCUGGACAAAGACUGACGCUCAGGUGCGAAAGCGUGGGGAGCAAACAGGAUUAGAUACCCGCGUAGUCCCUGUCUCUUAUAC